CAGGGAGACAAAAACUGAUUUAUGAUGUCUAAGUAAAUUAUUCUUAGGCCAUAAUCCUGUCACCUUAGGUCGAUCGGUACCUCAGAUAUUGACUUUAGUUAUCUUGAGCAAUCAAUUUAAAAAUAGUCAUUAAUUUCAGUUCCUAAACUUGUCUAGGUCACACCCAACAAGGGUAAUCCUGGGCCAUUAGCUCAGGUGGUUAGAGCGCACCCCUGAUAAGGGUGAGGUCCCUGGUUCAAGUCCAGGAUGGCCCAUUCGGUUUGGGGGUAUAGCUCAGUUGGUAGAGCGCCUGCUUUGCAAGCAGGAUGUCAGCGGUUCGAGUCCGCUUACCUCCACUGAUCAACUUCCUAGCAACAAACUCGAAAGUGGUUGCUUUUGUUAGAUGUGAUUUAGACGUAGUUUGGCUGAGUGAACCUAGCUUCUUAUCAUCCUCCAUGAAAUCUAAUUCUUUUAUUUUAGAUUUUUAGGUUGAUAAUAUGCUGGGCUCACAGGAAUUUAAAAAAAAUCCCUGUGUCUUCAGCAGAACCUUGACAACUGCAUAGGUGAGUCUGGAAAGAAUAAAGCAUCUCAUGGAUGCAUUAUUCUUUUGAAUUAGAUUUUCUAAUUUGAUUGAAUAAUGUUCAAUUCUUGAGCAAGAGCUGAGACUUUAUAGCGUGCUUUUCAUUAUAUGAUUUAUGAAGAGUUAGAUUGCUAAUUUAUUUGAUUGAAAAAGUUAAAUGAAUUAGCGAGAACAGUGCUAACAACACAUCGCGUUAUAGAGAUUAUU
rnacentral:tRNA from 1 species